GUGGGGAAUAUUGCGCAAUGGGGGCAACCCUGACGCAGCAACGCCGCGUGAUUGAAGAAGGCCUUCGGGUUGUAAAGAUCUUUAAUCGGGGACGAAUUUUGACGGUACCCGAAGAAUAAGCUCCGGCUAACUACGUGCCAGCAGCCGCGGUAAUACGUAGGGAGCAAGCGUUAUCCGGAUUUACUGGGUGUAAAGGGCGUGUAGGCGGGCAUGCAAGCCAGAAGUGAAAUCUGGGGGCUUAACCCCCAAACUGCUUUUGGAACUGCGUGUCUUGAGUGAUGGAGAGGCAGGCGGAAUUCCCAGUGUAGCGGUGAAAUGCGUAGAUAUUGGGAGGAACACCAGUGGCGAAGGCGGCCUGCUGGACAUUAACUGACGCUGAGGCGCGAAAGCGUGGGGAGCAAACAGGA
rnacentral:rRNA from 1 species